CCAAAUACAACAAUUUAUCUAAGCUUGAAUUCUGAACCCUGAACAAACGUUCUGGAUUCUUAUCCCCACCAAAGUCGCCAGAGCUGUCACACCUACUUUUUUACCUACACUCGCAAGGGCGUAAAGGAGUUUUUCCACUUAAAGGAUAAUCGAAACGGAUUUAGUUUAUUUAUUAUUCAGAGUCGCCACUUGGGAGAUUAAUGGUGUCCAAAGUCACCGGUUGAAUCCCGAACCGAGAAAAAAGAUGACUUUGAUACAGUAUGCGAACCAGAAAUUCGGAUAAGGAAUUCUGUUAACCUAGGAGAAGGUGUUAGGCAUUCUCAGUUUCCAUGGUUCUAGCACAGUCGCUUAAUUGUUGCAUUUGAUUUUAUCUGAUUUUCAUACAUGCUAACUUAUGUGCAUUUUAUUCGUAAACCGCUUUUUAUAUUUGUUUAUUUUAAACGAAUUGCGACGUCGUGAAAACGCGUUUCGAACCACGU
rnacentral:lncRNA from 1 species